UCUAAUUCAAUUCAAUUUUGACGCUAUCUACCUGGAGAUAGCUGCAGAUCCCACAGGUUUAGGGCUCAGUCCCACAAGAAUCCCCUCCCUUCAAACACCAGUAGCAAGUCUGGGCCUCCAGAACAUCUAAUCAACUGGCUAUAAGCUGGAGUUCCCAUGACCCUUCCUUUGGGUUCCAUUAAUUUGCUAGAGUGGCUCACAGAACUCAGGGAAACAAAUUUGCUGGUUUAUUACAAAGGAUAAUACAAAGGAUACAAAUGAAGAAACCCACACAGUGAGGCAUGGGGGAAGGGGUGCAGAGCUUCCCUGCCCUCCCUGGGGUGCCACCAUCCAGGCACCUCCGGAAGCUCCCAAUAUGCAUGACUACUUAAACUAUGGGUGAUCAACUUAACCUUCAGCCCCUCUCCCUUCCCCAGGGAUAGGGGGAUGGGCUAAAAGCACCAAACUUCUAAUCUUGCCUAGGUCUUUCUGGUGACCAGCCCCCAUCCUGAAGCUACCUAGAGGCAGCCAGCCAUCAGUCAACUCGUUAGCAUACAAAAAGACAUCACUUUGGAGUUUCUAAGGAUUUUAAGAACUGUUUGCCAGGAAGUCACACAUACAAUUCACCAAAGAAGAUAUACAGAUGGCAAAUAAGCAUAUGAAAAGAUGCUCAACAACACUGGAUAAUAGGCAAUUGCAAAUUCAGAUAAUGAGAUACCACUACACCUAACAGAAUGGCUAAAAUCCAACAUGCUGACAAGAUCAACUGCUGGUAAUAAUGCUGAGCAACAGGAGCCCUCAUUCAUUAUGAUGGGAAUGCAAAAUAGUACAGCCACUUUGGAAGACAAUUUGGCAGUUUCUUACAAAUCAAAAUAUAGUCUUACAACACAAGCAAUCUCGCUCCUAGAUAUUUACACAACUGAUCUAAAAGCUUAUGUCCACACAAAAACCUGUAUGCAGAAAUUUACAGAAGCUUUAUUCAUAAUCAUCGAAAACCAGAAGCGACCAAGAAUGUCAUUCAAUAGGUGAAUGAUUAAACAAACUGUGGUACCUCCAUAAACGGAACAUUAAGUGAUAAGAAAGAAAUGAGCUAAUAAGCCAUUUAAAAAACACAGAAAAACCUUACUGCAUACUGCUAACUGAAAGAACCAGUCUGAAACAGCUACAUACUGUAUGAUUUCAAUUAUACGACAUUCUGAAAAAGGCGAAACCAAAGAAACAAUAGGCAGAUCAGUAGUUGUAGGAGAGGAUGAGGGGAGGAGGCAGGGGAAAACACGAGGAGCACAGAGAAUUUUAAGGGUAAUGAAACUAUGCUGAAUGAUCCUGUAAUGGUGGAUACAUGACAUUUUAUAUUUGUCAAAACCCAUAGAAGGUACAACACAAAGAAUGAACACCUAAAUGCACACUAAUUUUUCAAAAAGAUCAAUUAGGAAGUCAGGGAUCCCAGGAUGGAAUGCAGAAUAUAACAAGAGAAUCUAAACGUAUUACAAAUGUAUGAAACAAUCUCAUUGAAGGGUGUGGGGGGGAGUUGGUGACCUAAGUCACUUUCAAAAUGAAUGGAGUCUUUAACACUAAAGGCAAACAGAACUGCACAUAGCAUUGUACUCUACUUGAUAGUUUCCCAGUGGUGUAAGGGUGAACAAGUUUGAUACUGCUAAAGGCAGGUAUAUGGAAGCAAACAGUUAAGUGGAUGGUGGAUGAUGGCAGCCAGUUUUCUAUUGUUGGAGUGGGAAUUCACACAUGAACAAGGGGAGAAGGCUAGAAUGAUGCAUGUGGUAAUGGAUUUGAGUUGGAGACAUCAUUAAGAACUCACGUUUAAUUUAAUAUAGAUAUACGUAGUUACACAUAGAAAUAUUUACAGGUAUGUGUACACACACAGGUUAGUAUACACAUAAAUAUCUCCUUGCUCUGUCAGCUGAGAGAGCCCAGAAACAAGGACAAUCUGGUAGCAAAAAGCAUACUGGGGGGAGGGCGUGGCAGACAGCCAGCCUGAGCCCCUGGGUUUUUCACAUGGCCCAAGGGCCGGACUUGAGAGUCUCCUUGCAGUGGUGCACGAGAGCAGAGUACAUUGCAGGACAAGCAUUUAGAAAGUUUCUUCUGCUUUUUGACCGGGUAUUGGUUGAAAGGAGUGCAGCUGAAACUGUAACCAAAGGAGGCAUUAUGCUUCCAGAAAAAUCUCAAGGAAAAGUGUUGCAAGCAACAGUAGUGGCUGUUAGAUCGGGCUCUAAAGGAAAAGUUGGAGAGAGUCAACCAGUUAAUGUGAAAGUUGGAGACAAAGUCCUUCUCCCAGAAUAUGGAGGCACCAAAGUAGUUCUAGAUGACAAGAAUUAUUUCUUAUUUAGAGAUGGUGACAUUCUUGGAAAGUAUGUGGGCUGAAAUAAAUCACUAUUGAAAUGGCAUUGACAUGAAGCUCAUUCCACUGAAGUUCUGAAAUCUUUCAUCAUGUAAAUAAUUUCCAUGUCUCUCUUUUAUAAUAAACUAAUGAUCUCUAAA